UAGAAAAGUCGGAAUUGAACCGACAAUAAAGAAAUCAAAAUUCUUUGUAAUUCCAUUUUACUACCUCC
rnacentral:tRNA from 1 species